AGUGAACGCUGGCGGUAGGCCUAACACAUGCAAGUCGAACGGCAGCACAGUAAGAGCUUUCUCUUACGGUUGGCGAGUGGCGGACGGGUGAGGAAUACAUCGGCAUCUACUUUUUCGUGGGUGAUAACGUAGGGAAACUUACGCUACUACCUCAUACGUCCUACGGGUGAAAGCAGUGGAUCUUCGGACCUUGCGCGAUUGUAUGAGCCGAUGUCGGAUUAGCUAGUUGGCGGGGUAAAGGCCCACCAAGGCGACGAUCCGUAGCUGGUCUGAGAGGAUGAUCAGCCACACUGGAACUGAGACACGGUCCAGACUCCUACGGGAGGCAGCAGUGGGGAAUAUUGGACAAUGGGCGCAAGCCUGAUCCAGCCAUACCGCGUGGGUGAAGAAGGCCUUCGGGUUGUAAAGCCCUUUUGUUGGGAAAGAAAAGCAGCAGGUUAAUACCCCGCUGUUCUGACGGUACCCAAAGAAUAAGCACCGGCCAACUUCGUG
rnacentral:rRNA from 1 species